AGAGUUUGAUCCUGGCUCAGAUUGAACGCUGGCGGCAUGCCUUACACAUGCAAGUCGAGCGGCAGCACGAGAGCUUGCUCUUGGUGGCGAGUGGCGAACGGGUGAGUAAUAUAUCGGAACGUACCCUAGAGUGGGGGAUAACGCAGCGAAAGUUGCGCUAAUACCGCAUACGAUCUACGGAUGAAAGUGGGGGAUCGCAAGACCUCAUGCUCAUGGAGCGGCCGAUAUCUGAUUAGCUAGUUGGUAGGGUAAAAGCCUACCAAGGCUUCGAUCAGUAGCUGGUCUGAGAGGACGACCAGCCACACUGGAACUGAGACACGGUCCAGACUCCUACGGGAGGCAGCAGUGGGGAAUUUUGGACAAUGGGCGCAAGCCUGAUCCAGCAAUGCCGCGUGAGUGAAGAAGGCCUUCGGGUUGUAAAGCUCUUUUGUCAGGGAGAAACGGUGGACUCUAAUACAGAUCACUAAUGACGGUACCUGAAGAAUAAGCACCGGCUAACUACGUGCCAGCAGCCGCGGUAAUACGUAGGGUGCAAGCGUUAAUCGGAAUUACUGGGCGUAAAGCGUGCGCAGGCGGUUGUGCAAGACAGAUGUGAAAUCCCCGGGCUCAACCUGGGAAUUGCAUUUGUGACUGCACGGCUAGAGUGUGUCAGAGGGGGGUAGAAUUCCACGUGUAGCAGUGAAAUGCGUAGAGAUGUGGAGGAAUGCCGAUGGCGAAGGCAGCCCCCUGGGAUAACACUGACGCUCAUGCACGAAGGCGUGGGGAGCAAACAGGAUUAGAUACCCUGGUAGUCCACGCCCUAAACGAUGUCUACUAGUUGUAGGGUCUUAAUUGACUUAGUAACGCAGCUAACGCGUGAAGUAGACCGCCUGGGGAGUACGGUCGCAAGAUUAAAACUCAAAGGAAUUGACGGGGACCCGCACAAGCGGUGGAUGAUGUGGAUUAAUUCGAUGCAACGCGAAAAACCUUACCUACCCUUGACAUGUACGGAAUCCCUGAGAGAUUAGGGAGUGCUCGAAAGAGAGCCGUAACACAGGUGCUGCAUGGCUGUCGUCAGCUCGUGUCGUGGGAUGUUGGGUUAAGUCCCGCAACGAGCGCAACCCUUGUCAUUAGUUGCUACGAAAGGGCACUCUAAUGAGACUGCCGGUGACAAACCGGAGGAAGGUGGGGAUGACGUCAAGUCCUCAUGGCCCUUAUGGGUAGGGCUUCACACGUCAUACAAUGGUACAUACAGAGGGCCGCCAACCCGCGAGGGGGAGCUAAUCCCAGAAAGUGUAUCGUAGUCCGGAUUGUAGUCUGCAACUCGACUACAUGAAGUUGGAAUCGCUAGUAAUCGCGGAUCAGCAUGUCGCGGUGAAUACGUUCCCGGGUCUUGUACACACCGCCCGUCACACCAUGGGAGCGGGUUUCACCAGAAGUAGGUAGCCUAACCGUAAGGAGGGCGCUUACCACGGUGGGAUUCGUGACUGGGGUGAAGUCGUAACAAGGUA
rnacentral:rRNA from 1 species